GGUGAGAUAGUGUAAUGGUAACAUAAGUGACUCAUGUUCAUUUGAUUUAGGUUCAAGUCCUAAUUUCGCCU